AAGUUAAGAAUUUGUAGUUAUUACAAUUAAGGCUUCGCUACAGCCGUUAAGACAUCAUGAAUGAGAUUGUGAAGGAUGCAUUUGAAUUAUGUGAACCUGCUUUUCAGUGUAAGAGUAAUGACAUGAGUAAGAGGAAAAUUAAGGGAGAGAGUAAGGGAAAGAGAACGGAAACAAGCUUAUCUUCCCUGAUCCAGUCACUUGAACUAUUGAUUGUGAGGCUUUACAUUAUUCUUGAUUUAACUGUAUACAUUGAUUUAACUAUUUAGUUGAGUUAAUGUACUUUCUUGCAGUGAAUCCUUCAUACAACUACUGGUGAUCAUUUCAUUUAUAAGGCAAAUCUCGUGUUAGAUA